rnacentral:ncRNA from 1 species
CGCGGUUACGGCGAUGAAGCUCGCCGCAACCGCCGCGCCGGCUGAUGGCUUCUACCAACGA